rnacentral:misc_RNA from 1 species
AAAGAGAAUCACGUAUUUCUUCCCGAUGUACUCAGACAAUUUAACCUUGAUGAAUUCUUGAUCAAAAACAGCUUCAGCCUCAAAGUCUGGUGCUUGAUUUCCAACAAGUGGGAGUUCACUAGAGGCACAGACAGCAAAACGACGGCGUUCUGCUUGAGCAACCCGAGUAUUGAUUGAACGAGCUACACGAGAAACAAGGGGAUUGCAAUUACGAAGUCCAUUAAAAGCAGAAGGAACGGAAAUUGAUUGAGAAAUGUGUGAUUUAGGUGAAAUAGAAGCUCUGGAAGUGUAAGAAAGCAGAGCAGUUGAAGAAGAAGCAGAGCAAGCCAUUGGAAAGAGUGAAAAUAGGCUCUAUGAGUAGUGAAUGGAGAGUAGAGAAAAGGGUAUCUGAUAAAGAUAGGGUAGCUCCACAAGAAUUUGGCCUUAUCUACUGAAUUUGGAGUGUUAAAGGUGGAGAA